rnacentral:rRNA from 1 species
UACGUAGGGUGCAAGCGUUAUCCGGAAUUAUUGGGCGUAAAGAGCUCGUAGGCGGUUUGUCGCGUCUGCUGUGAAAACCCGAGGCUCAACCUCGGGCCUGCAGUGGGUACGGGCAGACUAGAGUGCGGUAGGGGAGACUGGAAUUCCUGGUGUAGCGGUGAAAUGCGCAGAUAUCAGGAGGAACACCGGUGGCGAAGGCGGGUCUCUGGGCCGAUAUUGACGCUGAGGAGCGAAAGCGUGGGGAGCGAACAGG